rnacentral:rRNA from 1 species
ACAAUGAAGAGUUUGAUCCUGGCUCAGGAUGAACGCUAGCUACAGGCUUAACACAUGCAAGUCGAGGGGCAGCAUUUCAGUUUGCUUGCAAACUGGAGAUGGCGACCGGCGCACGGGUGAGUAACACGUAUCCAACCUGCCGAUAACUCGGGGAUAGCCUUUCGAAAGAAAGAUUAAUACCCGAUGGUAUAAUCAGACCGCAUGGUCUUAUUAUUAAAGAAUUUCGGUUAUCGAUGGGGAUGCGUUCCAUUAGGCAGUUGGUGAGGUAACGGCUCACCAAACCUUCGAUGGAUAGGGGUUCUGAGAGGAAGGUCCCCCACAUUGGAACUGAGACACGGUCCAAACUCCUACGGGAGGCAGCAGUGAGGAAUAUUGGUCAAUGGGCGCAGGCCUGAACCAGCCAAGUAGCGUGAAGGAUGACUGCCCUAUGGGUUGUAAACUUCUUUUAUAUGGGAAUAAAGUUUUCCACGUGUGGAAUUUUGUAUGUACCAUAUGAAUAAGGAUCGGCUAACUCCGUGCCAGCAGCCGCGGUAAUACGGAGGAUCCGAGCGUUAUCCGGAUUUAUUGGGUUUAAAGGGAGCGUAGGUGGACAGUUAAGUCAGUUGUGAAAGUUUGCGGCUCAACCGUAAAAUUGCAGUUGAUACUGGCUGUCUUGAGUACAGUAGAGGUGGGCGGAAUUCGUGGUGUAGCGGUGAAAUGCUUAGAUAUCACGAAGAACUCCGAUUGCGAAGGCAGCUCACUGGACUGCAACUGACACUGAUGCUCGAAAGUGUGGGUAUCAAACAGGAUUAGAUACCCUGGUAGUCCACACAGUAAACGAUGAAUACUCGCUGUUUGCGAUAUACAGUAAGCGGCCAAGCGAAAGCAUUAAGUAUUCCACCUGGGGAGUACGCCGGCAACGGUGAAACUCAAAGGAAUUGACGGGGGCCCGCACAAGCGGAGGAACAUGUGGUUUAAUUCGAUGAUACGCGAGGAACCUUACCCGGGCUUAAAUUGCAUUUGAAUAUAUUGGAAACAGUAUAGCCGUAAGGCAAAUGUGAAGGUGCUGCAUGGUUGUCGUCAGCUCGUGCCGUGAGGUGUCGGCUUAAGUGCCAUAACGAGCGCAACCCUUAUCUUUAGUUACUAACAGGUCAUGCUGAGGACUCUAGAGAGACUGCCGUCGUAAGAUGUGAGGAAGGUGGGGAUGACGUCAAAUCAGCACGGCCCUUACGUCCGGGGCUACACACGUGUUACAAUGGGGGGUACAGAAGGCAGCUACCUGGUGACAGGAUGCUAAUCCCAAAAGCCUCUCUCAGUUCGGAUCGAAGUCUGCAACCCGACUUCGUGAAGCUGGAUUCGCUAGUAAUCGCGCAUCAGCCAUGGCGCGGUGAAUACGUUCCCGGGCCUUGUACACACCGCCCGUCAAGCCAUGAAAGCCGGGGGUACCUGAAGUACGUAACCGCAAGGAGCGUCCUAGGGUAAAACUGGUAAUUGGGGCUAAGUCGUAACAAGGUAGCCGUACCGGAAGGUGCGGCUGGAACACCUCCUUU